UAUUUUUGUGUUUAUUUAUUUCAGGAUGGAGCUAGAUGGGCAAAUGGGUCAUUUUAGAGGAGAAAAUUCAUUAAAACUUCAAGCUGGAUGGCAUUUUUGUAAUUUUGAGGUAUCAGUCAAGCGCCUAGGCGCUUGGAAUUGCACUAAGUUGAGCGCCUAGGCACUCAUACACACCCAUAGUUGAUUUUUUCUGCUGCUGAGUUAGAUUUUGAAGCCAAAUAGGAAUCUUGAUGAAGGUUUGGACCAAUACAAAUAGGAGAAUACUUUUCUCUUCUUUAGUUUUUAUUCUUUGUAAUUAUCUAGGAUGUUUGGAUUAUUAAUAUUGAU
rnacentral:lncRNA from 1 species